GUACUGCCAAACAUCACUUUUUCUACUCACAAGUUUCUUUUUCACUUUCUCCCAGCCUACAGCGUUGAACGGUCCAACUACGUAAACACCUUCCCGUAAUCAACGGCGGCGUCAUUACGUCGACCUGCGUAGCGCGCCAAGUGCAAGCGCAGGGUUCGGCAGAAACCCAGACCC